CAGGUCUGUGAUGCCCUAGAAUGUUCGGGGCCGCACGCGCGCUACACUGACCGGAUCAGCGUGUGCUCUCCUUGGCCGACAGGUCCGGGAAACCCGUUGAACCCCGGUCGUGCUAGGGAUAGGGAAUUGCAAUUAUUUCCCUUGAACGAGGAAUUCCCAGUAAGCGCGAGUCAUUAGCUCGCGUUGAUUACGUCCCUGCCCUUUGUACACACCGCCCGUCGCUACUACCGAUUGAAUGGUUUAGUGAGGUCCUCCGAUUGGACCCGGUCCGGGCGGCGACGUCCGAGCCGGCGUCCGAGAAGACGAUCUAACUUGAUCAUUUAGAGGAAGUAAAAGUCGUAACAAGGUUUCCGUAGGUGAACCUGCGGAAGGAUCAUUA
rnacentral:ncRNA from 1 species